rnacentral:rRNA from 1 species
AUUGAACGCUGGCGGAAUGCUUUACACAUGCAAGUCGAACGGCAGCACGGGUGCUUGCACCUGGUGGCGAGUGGCGAACGGGUGAGUAAUGCACCGGAACGUAUCCAAUAAUGGGGGAUAACGCACCGAAAGGUGUGCUAAUACCGCAUACGCCCUGAGGGGGAAAGCGGGGGAUCGUAAGACCUCGCGUUAAUGGAGCGGCCGAUGCCGGAUUAGCUAGUUGGUGAGGUAAAGGCUCACCAAGGCGACGAUCCGUAGCUGGUCUGAGAGGACGACCAGCCACACUGGAACUGAGACACGGUCCAGACUCCUACGGGAGGCAGCAGUGGGGAAUUUUGGACAAUGGGCGAAAGCCUGAUCCAGCCAUGCCGCGUGC